rnacentral:rRNA from 1 species
ACUUACGGCCAUACCAUUCUGAAAACGCCCGAUCUCGUCUGAUCUCGGAAGCAAAGCAGAGUCGGGCCUGGUUAGUACUUGGAUGGGAGANNGCCUGGGAAUACCAGGUGCUGUAAGCCU